rnacentral:rRNA from 1 species
UACAGAGGUCCCAAGCGUUGUUCGGAUUCACUGGGCGUAAAGGGUGCGUAGGUGGUUGGGAAAGUUUGACGUGAAAGCUCGGAGCUUAACUCCGAAAUGGCAUUGAAUACUUCUUAACUUGAGGGUCGGAGGGGAGACUGGAAUUCUCGGUGUAGCAGUGAAAUGCGUAGAUAUCGAGAGGAACACCAGUGGCGAAGGCGAGUCUCUGGACGACUCCUGACACUGAGGCACGAAAAGCUAGGGGAGCAAACAGG